ensembl:lncRNA
CGUACGGGGCCCAUAAAGCUGCCAGUAGGGCAGCACGCAGAAGGGUUGGAGGUAGUGAGAGGUUGCUACAGGAUAGUCGUCCUCACGGUCUGCUAGAACCGAGGGGCUCGGUGUUCUACCCCAGAGGAGACGGCCUUCCUUGGAGCCCAGAAGGCGGUAACACAGAAGAGGUCACCUGGAAUUGACAGAGAGAAAUUACGAUGUCGGUUAGUGGAGACACUGGCUGGCGCCAAGGACCCAUUCAUCAUCCUCACCGACCAUCGGAACCUGGCGUGCAUACGGACAGCGAGGAGGCUGAAUCUGCGCCAAGCAAGGUGGGCCCUUUUCAUCACAAGAUUUGACUUCACGCUGACUUAUCGCCCCGGUUAAAAACACCAAAUGCCCGGUUCUGUCCAUAAUGCACCUAUAAUCCCUUCCUCUCGAGUCGUAGCCCCUGUGGUCUGGGAUGUAGAUGUGGACAUCCGCCAGGAUCUGAAGAGGUAGCCCCCACCCACUACCACUAACUGUCCUGAGCAUAUCUAUGUUCCCACAGGGAAUAAGGGACCGGCUGCUGACCUGGGGGCACACAGCUGUCGUUGUUGGACAUCCAGGUUGCUGAGGCACUACUACAGCAGGUCUUCCGGCAUUAUGGCCUUCUAGAGGACAUCGUCUCUGACCGUGGGCCCUAAUUCACAUCACGGGUAUGGACAGCCUUAAUGGAGAAGUUGGGAUCACAGUCAGCCUCCCUUCUGGGUAAAGGCCUCAGUCCAACGGGAAUGUGGAAAUGAUGGAGCUGGGGAGGUUCCUGAGGAGUUACUGCCAGGACCGGCAGGGAGAGUGGGCCCUGUUCCUUCCAUGGGUGGAGUAAGCCCAGAAUUCAUUAUGUCACUCCUGCACCAGGCUGACUCCCUUGCAGUGUGUUCAGGGUUUUCAUCCGACUCUGUCUCCGUAGACCCCUGGCCAGACCGAAGCUCCUGAGGUUGAUGAGUGGUUCAGGUAUGCAGAAGAGGUGUGAAACGAAGCUUACAAGACUCCAGUGUGCCGUCCACCAUCAGAAGGAGCAGGCAGAUCGCCACCGCAAUGAGACCUCCGUGUUCCAUCCAGGGGAUUGUGUCUGGCUCUCUACCAGGAACCUCCCACUCCGCCUGCAUUGCAAUAAGCUGAUCUCCUGGUUUGUAGGGCCGUUUAAGGUUCUCCGGAGGGUCAACGAGUUGACGUAUAGGUUACAGCUUCCCAGUGGCAUCUCGCCUUCUUUUCAUGCCUCCCUUCUUAGGCAGGUAGUUCCUGGUCCCCUUCAUAUAAGCCCUUGGGCUUCCAACCACACAUGCACACUGUUUUAAUUUUUUAUCUGUAUUGUUGCCUAUCACUUGUUUUCUUUGGUGCAAAUAAUAAAUCAAACAAAACUGUUCCAUUUACUGUCAUUGACAUUCAAGUGGCAAUUUUUGUAAAUAAUAUGACCCUGAGUGAUUGGGCUGUCUUGAGCUGUUAUUUUAGUGAGACAAUCAGCAGCUGCCAGCUGACAAUUAUUCCAGCAGAGUUGCAACAAUAUGCAUGCAUUUAACCCCCGAGACGCCAUCCCGGGGUUCUCAAUAGCUGCAAUUAGCAGCCCAUUGUGAU